rnacentral:lncRNA from 1 species
UCCAUUUAUAUAUAUAUAUAUAUAGGAUAAGAAAACACAAUGAAUAUCAUACUAGCCACCUAGCUUAAAAUUGAAUUACAGAAUGACAUGAGUUCAAAGUAACUAGAUGAUAAAUUUCUUGGAGAAAUAAAUGAUGAUUCAAUCUUCAAAUUUCCUGGGAAUCCAGCCUGUAGACUGUCACAUUACAUAUUGAAACUAUGGUCGG